rnacentral:rRNA from 1 species
CUUUACUGUAGCUUUGCAUUGGACUUUGACGGGACUUGUGUAGGAUAGGUGGGAGGCUAUGAAACCGGGACGCCAGUUCCGGCGGAGCCACCCUUGAAAUACCACCCUGGUGUCGUCGAGGUUCUAACCCAGGCCUGUGAAUCCAGGUCGGGGACCGUGCAUGGUGGGCAGUUUGACUGGGGCGGUCUCCUCCCAAAAGGUAACGGAGGAGUACGAAGGUCACCUAGGUACGGUCGGACAUCGUACUGAUAGUGCAAUGGCAAAAGGUGGCUUGACUGCGAGACCCACAAGUCGAGCAGGUGCGAAAGCAGGUCAUAGUGAUCCGGUGGUUCUGUAUGGAAGGGCCAUCGCUCAACGGAUAAAAGGUA